UUGCCUCUGCAUCAAUCUUUGCCCUAAAACCCUGACUCUUCUGGACAUUCAAAAUUGCCGGGAAACUAACGGCUCUCUUAAACCCUUAUUAUUAUCAUCAUUUUAUAAUUCGAUUCUCAAAUCGGUUUCUCUGUUAAACCCUAAACCCCUUCAACAUUUCGCCAGAAACAAACAGAAAAUAUAUAUGUAUAAAGCCACAUCCUUUAAUCCUAGAACUACUUAUUUUAAUGCUCAUCAAAUGGGCUCCUUUCCAUUUAUCUAUCAAACGACAAAUCAUCUACCCUCUCUCUUCCUUGGUCUUUCCUAAACCCUCAGUCACUGCCGCACAUCUCUCCAGAGACGAACACGCCACCUCCACUGCCUUAAUUGAUGCAAACCGUAAUGACCCAGUUUGCGAAAUUGUUGCAAAUAUAAAAAAUUUAGGGUUUAAGAGACUUAUUGAUUUGGGUUAUUUGAGAAAUACUGUAUUGAGUCUGAGCGAGUCUCAGUUUGAUCAGAUUUUCUAUUGUUUGAGGGUUGAGAGUCCAAAUUAUGUGGUGGCGUUUUUUGAUUGGUUGAAUAUUGAGUUCGGGUUUAAGCUUCCUCCGGUUUCGAGAUUUAUUGUUUCACAUGUUUUGGCGGGUGAGAGGAGAUUCAAGGAGUUAAGGUCGGUCUUAGAGCAAAUGUUGCGAAAGGAAGGCUCUGGUUCAGCUCCCUUCCUUUGUGAGAUUCUAUUGAAUGGCUUUAGGGGCUGGGAGACAAACAGAGAGGUAUGGGAUAUGUUGGCAUUUGUUUAUUUAAGAUCUGAGAUGGUUCAUGAUGCCCUUUUUGUACUUGUGAAAAUGAAAGACUUGGACUUGAGAGCUUCAAUUCAAACAUAUAACAGUCUUUUGUACAAUUUAAGGCGCACUGAUAUUAUGUGGGAUGUAUAUCAUGAUAUCAAAGUUAGUGAGACUCCUAUGAAUGAAUAUACUAAUUCCAUACUGAUAAAUGGCUUAUGCCAGCAGUCCAGACUACAAGAUGCAGUUUUGUUCUUUCAGGAGACUGCAGGGGAGAAGUUUGGGCCUUCUGUUGUUUCUUUGAAUACCAUCAUGUCUGGGUACUGUAAACUGGGUUUUGCUGAAGCUGCAAAGGGUUUUUUUGGUAUGAUGAUCAAGUAUGGCCUGCGUCCUGAUUUGUAUAGUUAUAAUAUUCUUAUUCAUGGUUUGAGUGUAGCUGGUUCCAUGGAAGAAGCAUUAGAGUUCACAAGUGACAUGGACAGGCAUGGGGUGGAGCCUGAUACAGUAACCUACAGAAUUCUUGCCAAAGGAUUUAAUUUGCUUGCUCGCAUGAGUGGAGCUUGGAAGGUCUUUCAGAAAAUGCUUAUUAGAGGUUUGAAUCCAGAUCUUGUUGCAUACACAGUCCUGAUUUGCGGGCAUUGCCAGAUAGGGAACAUUCAGGAAGGAUUAAAGUUGCGAGAAGAGUUGCUCUCAAAGGGUUUUCAGAUGAAUGCCAUCUCAUACAGUGUACUACUCAGCAGCCUAUGUAAAUGUGGAAGAGUCGAGGAAGCAUUGAGACUUUUUUAUGAAAUGGAAGCUACUGGCUUAAAGCCCGAUCUUGUGACAUAUUCAAUCCUCAUUCAUGGUCUUUGCAAGCAAGAAAGAAUCCAAAAUGCUAUCCAACUAUAUGAUGAAAUGUGCUCCAUGAGAAUCACCCCUAAUUCUUUUGCACAAGGUGCUAUUCUUCAGGGCCUGUGCAAGAAAGAAAUGAUAUCAGAGGCAAGACUGUAUUUUGAUACUCUUACAAAAAGUGACUUGACACAGGAUAUUAUUUUGUACAAUAUGAUGAUUGAUGCAUAUGUUAAAAGCCGUAGCAUUGGGGAGGCUGUCCGGUUGUACAAACAACUAACUGAAAGAAGAAUUAGUCCUAGUAUAAUCACUUUUAAUUCCCUUAUUUACGGAUUCUGCAAGAUGGGAAAAGUAGCCGAAGCUAGAAAGUUGUUGGAUACUAUCAAAUUGCAUGGGUUGGAACCGAGUGCAGUAACAUAUACCACUCUUAUGAAUGCAUACUGUGAAGAAGGAAACAUGCAUAGCUUGUUUGAAUUACUGAGAGAAAUGGAAACAAAAACUAUAGAACCAACUCAUGUUACUUACACUGUACUUAUCAAAGGAUUCUGCAGACAGUGGAAGCUGCAAGAAGCCAUUCAAUUAUUUGACGAUAUGUUAGCUAAAGGUCUAACUCCUGAUGAAAUCACAUUUAAUACCCUCAUCCACAGUUUCUGCAAAUGUAAAGAUGUAAGAAAAGCUUUUCAGUUACUCAAUGAGAUGUUGCUGCAUAAUCUUGAGCCUACACCUGUUACAUAUAAUAUUCUCAUAAAUGGUCUUUGUGUAUAUGGUGAGCUGAAAGAUGCAGAUAGUCUACUCUUUUCUCUUCAGGAACGUAAUAUCAAUUUGACAAAAGUUGCUUAUACAACAAUAAUCAAAGCACAUUGUGUCAAGGGCAAUGUGGACAAUGCAGUAAUAUUCUUUCGUCAAAUGGUAGAGAAGGGGUUUGAAAUUUCAAUAAGAGACUAUAGUGCUGUGAUCAAUAGACUGUGCAAAAGGUGUUUAUUUACUGAAGCAAAAUUUUUUUUCUGCAUGAUGAUGUCUGAUGGCUUGCCUCCCGAUCAAGAGAUAUGUGAAAGGAUGCUUAAUGCCUUUCAUCAAGGUGGUGAUAUCAAUUCAUUUUAUGAACUGGUAGCUAAGGUGAUCAAAUUUGGUGUAUUUGAUGAUAAAUUAAUGAGGAAGUAAUCAUUCUGAUAUAUCUCAUUGUUGCAUAGAUCGGCUGGUGAAUUGACAUCCAAUUUUACUGCAUGAGGAAAUGGGACUGGGCUUUGAGUAGUUCAUGGAACUUUGAAAUAUUCAGGUUUGAGCAAUGCAUGAUGAUUGAUAAAUCAUGGUCCAAAUUUAAAUUGUAUUAACUUAUACUCCUUAAAUGGAGAAACACAUUAAUCUAAAGAUCAAGUCAAGAUAAAGAGAUUGAGUGAAUAUAGAAAGAAGUGAAGAUGGAGAUUUGGUAAAAUAGGGUUUUGUUUAGAUUCGAGCUCAUUUUUAUUAAGUGAAAAUGAGUUAAGUAAUUUUUUUGGGCUUGGUCUUGAAUUAGUGUAAAAAUAUAUCAACCUAA